UGAAGGUGUAUACCACCGUUGUUGCGGUUAAAACGCUCGUAGUUGGAUCUAUGUUCGUGGGGUUGGUGCUCUCUUUGAGAGUUACUGACUACCUGAACUGAAAUCGCUGGUUUUCCCUUGGUGCCCUUCAUUGGGUGCCUUGGGUGGCUAGCAAGUUUACUUUGAAAAAAUUAGAGUGCUCAAAACAGGCGCAUGCCUGAAUAGUGGUGCAUGGAAUAAUGGAAUAGGAUCUUGGUCCUAUUUUGUUGGUUUUCGGGAGCCAAGAUAAUGAUUAAGAGGGACAGACGGGGGCAUUCGUAUUGCAGCGUUAGAGGUGAAAUUCUUGGAUCGUUGCAAGACGAACAACUGCGAAAGCAUUUGCCAAGAAUGUUUUCAUUAAUCAAGAACGAAAGUUAGAGGUU
rnacentral:rRNA from 1 species